rnacentral:rRNA from 1 species
GAUCAGGCUCAGGAUGAACGCUGGCGGCGUGCCUAACACAUGCAAGUCGAGCGAAGCGGUUUUAAGGAAGUUUUCGGAUGGAAUUAAAACUGACUGAGCGGCGGACGGGUGAGUAACGCGUGGGUAACCUGCCUCAUACAGGGGGAUAACAGUUAGAAAUGGCUGCUAAUACCGCAUAAGCACACAGCUUCGCAUGGAGCAGUGUGAAAAACUCCGGUGGUAUGAGAUGGACCCGCGU